rnacentral:snRNA from 1 species
GGAUGUGAGGGUGAUCUGGCUGCGACAUCUGUCACCCCAUUGAUCACCAGGGUUGAUUCGGCUGAUCUGGCUGGCUAGGCGAGUGUCCCCUUCCUCCCUCACCACUCCAUGUGCGUCCCUCCCGAAGCUGCAUGCUUGGUCGAAGAGGAUGACCAUCCCUGCUAGAGGAGGAUCUAGAGGAGGAUUGUCUUCGGUCAAGGGUAUAUGAGUAGCUGCACUCCCCUGCUAGAAUCCCCAAACAAACAGUAGGGGAUUUAUGAGUGGUAAAAGAUUAAGAAGGGAAUAUGUAUACCUGCUAAAAAUUCCUAUAGAACAAGAGUCUGAUCAUCUUGGAUACAUGUCU